GCCGAGGUCCUCUUCUAGGAUUGGUUGUCCACUCAUAACCAUAAGAUAAUUAAAACGGGGGGGGGCAGGGUAAAAAAAAAACCCUUUUAUCAGCCAUAGGUUAAUGCAAGUGUUUAACAGAUGCUUCGCUAUUAAAAUAUUUCCCCCCAAUACUGAAGAAUCUUAAACCAGGCUAGAGCGCCAGCGCUCCUCUGACCCGGCACACUUUGGCAAAGUUGCAGUGGCCUGUUUGCUUAGGCACUGAAGUGGAUGACCCAAGUUAGGAUGACAACUUGCAGAGAACGCGGAUGAGACCUUCAGUUUGUGCCCACACUCAUUUGCAGCAACCCUAACAGAGAUUGCGAAGAUUUUCAAAGUGGGGCACCUCGAUUUCUCGAAUCUGUGGUGUGGCGAAUAUCCGUGUUCCUCCUGCUUAACUAGCCUGUUUGGUCUGAUUCUAUUUAUUCUAAAGACAGAGUUGGAGAUGGGCUACCAUUGGUGUUGAUUGAGAUGACAAGCAGUCACCUGAGCCCAUACAGCUGUGGGAGAAAGUGCUUGCUGCCAAGCUUGAUGACCUAAAUUGAAUACCUGGAACCUACACGACAGAAAGAGAGAGCUGACUGCUGAAAGAUGUCCUCAGAUCUUCACAUGUGCACAGUGGCACCUAUCCAACCAUGCACAUAGUAUAUUAAAAAUUAUUUUUUAAAAAA
rnacentral:lncRNA from 1 species